CUCCAGCAUUGACUUCUCUGGAUAUUUAAUGCCAAACACUUUUGUGGGUGAGAUGUUAGAUGCAGAAUGGAUUCUUCUCUCUGGAGUUGGCACCAUAAAACCAAUGUAACACAUGGCUACCAUGAGGGCUUUGUGCAUUGCUUUCAGAAAUGUACAGAAAACAGGUUCCUGAGUCACAUAUGGAUCUACUCUCAACGAUGUAUGUUGUCCCCAACAAUGGCUGAAGGACUGUAUCUUCUCUCUAACAGUAGAAAAAAAGUCCCUUUAUCUCCAAACUCUGCCACAAACUUUUUUGAUAAUGGCCAUCCCAAUAAAUGUGAAGUGACAUCUCA